rnacentral:rRNA from 1 species
CAUUAAAGAGUUCUAUAACUCCCAAACCCAUGUGAACAUACCUAACGUUGCCUCGGCAGGUCGCACCUACCUUGUAGCACCCUACCCUGUAGGGCCUACCCGGGAGGUGCGGGUAAGCCUGCCGGCGGCCCACCAAACUCUGUUUGAUAUUGAAUUCUGAACCUAUAACUAAAUAAGUUAAAACUUUCAACAACGGAUCUCUUGGUUCUGGCAUCGAUGAAGAACGCAGCGAAAUGCGAUAAGUAAUGUGAAUUGCAGAAUUCAGUGAAUCAUCGAAUCUUUGAACGCAUAUUGCGCCCAUUAGUAUUCUAGUGGGCAGGACCGUUCGAGCGUCAUUUCAACCCUUAAGCCUUCGUUGCUUAGUGUUGGGAGCCUACGGCAACGUAGCUCCUCAAAGUUAGUGGCGGAGUUGGUUCACACUCUAGACGUAGUAAUUUUUUAUCUCGCCUAUUAGUUGGACUAAUCCCCUGCCGUAAAACCCCCAAUUUAUCAAGGUUGACCUCGAAUCGGUUCAGACAAACUCGCUAAAUUGAAGCAUCUUAGUCAGCGAAGGAAAAGAAACCAACAGGGAUUGCCCUAGUAACGGCGAGUGAAGCGGCAACAGCUCAAAUUUGAAAUCUGGCCCUCGGGUCCGAGUUGUAAUUUGUAGAGGAUGCUUUUGGCGCGGUGCCUUCCGAGUUCCCUGGAACGGGACGCCUUAGAGGGUGAGAGCCCCGUACGGUUGGACACCAAGCCUCUGUAAAGCUCCUUCGACGAGUCGAGUAGCUUGGGAAUGCUGCUCUAAAUGGGAGGUAAAUUUCUUCUAAAGCUAAAUAUUGGCCAGAGACCGAUAGCGCACAAGU